rnacentral:misc_RNA from 1 species
AACGCAUAUUGCGCCCUUUGGUAUUCCGAAGGGCAUGCCUGUUCGAGCGUCAUUAUCAACCAUCAAGCCUGGCUUGUCGUUGGACCCUUUUUACCACUGAAAUAUGUGGUAGGUCCGAAAGAUAAUGACGGUGUCGUGUUUGACCCUAGAUGCAACGAGCUUUUUAUAGCACGCAUUGAAGUGGUCGGCGGACCCGGUCUUUAACCAUCAUUUUCUAAGGUUGACCUCGGAUCAGGUAGGAAUACCCGCUGAACUUAA